rnacentral:rRNA from 1 species
UACGGAGGAUCCAAGCGUUAUCCGGAUUUAUUGGGUUUAAAGGGUGCGUAGGCGGCUUAUUAAGUCAGGGGUGAAAGACGGUGGCUCAACCAUCGCAGUGCCCUUGAUACUGAUGAGCUUGAAUACACUUGAGGUAGGCGGAAUGUGACAAGUAGCGGUGAAAUGCAUAGAUAUGUCACAGAACACCAAUUGCGAAGGCAGCUUACUAAGGUGCAAUUGACGCUGAGGCACGAAAGCGUGGGGGGAUCAAACAGG